AGUCUUCUUAAAUAUAAGAUUUGAACUUGUGAUUUCCUGUUUACUAGACAGGCACUUUAACUAACUAAGCCAUAGUGCC